rnacentral:rRNA from 1 species
UACGUAGGGUGCAAGCGUUAAUCGGAAUUACUGGGCGUAAAGCGUGCGCAGGCGGUUUUGUAAGUCAGAUGUGAAAUCCCCGGGCUUAACCUGGGAACUGCGUUUGAAACUACAAGGCUAGAGUGUGGCAGAGGGGGGUGGAAUUCCACGUGUAGCAGUGAAAUGCGUAGAUAUCGGGAGGAACACCAGUGGCGAAGGCGAUCACCUGGGGUUGUUCUGGACGCUGGAGGAGCGAAAGCUAGGGGAGCAAAGCGGGGAUUAAGAU